UACAGAGGGGGCAAGCGUUGUUCGGAAUUACUGGGCGUAAAGGGCGCGUAGGCGGCCUGUUAAGUCGAACGUGAAAUCCCCGGGCUCAACCCGGGAACUGCGUCCGAUACUGGCAGGCUUGAAUCCGGGAGAGGGAUGCGGAAUUCCAGGUGUAGCGGUGAAAUGCGUAGAUAUCUGGAGGAACACCGGUGGCGAAGGCGGCAUCCUGGACCAACACUGACGCUGAUGAGCGAAAGCCAGGGGAGCAAACGGG
rnacentral:rRNA from 1 species